CCACGCAGUAAACGAUGGAUACUCGCUGUUUGCGAUAUAGUGUAAGCGGCCAAGCGAAAGCGUUAAGUAUCCCACCUGGGGAGUACGUCGGCAACGAUGAAACUCAAAGGAAUUGACGGGGGCCCGCACAAGCGGAGGAACAUGUGGUUUAAUUCGAUGAUACGCGAGGAACCUUACCCGGGCUUGAAAUGUACCCGACGGCGUCAGAGACGGCGCUUCCAGCAAUGGCGGGUAUGUAGGUGCUGCAUGGUUGU
rnacentral:rRNA from 1 species